AUGCUGCCGCUGGUGAACAUGCAGGCUCCGCCGGGGAGAGAGAUCAGCAGGCAGCAGCAGAUGAUGACCAAGGUGUCCAUCUCCAUCCUGGUGAUGGCGCUGCCGGUGCUCUACGUCUCCGUCCUCCGCGUGCCGCCGGCCACGCUCUUCCGGGACACCACCUUCUGGUUCCUCAUGUCCAACUCCAUCAUCGUCGUCAUCGCCGCCGACUCCGGCAUGCUCUUCUUCGGCUCCUCCCCGUCCACCUCCCCCUGCGUCGACGACCGCCCCUUCGUCGUCUCCAACUACAACGGCGACGCAGCAGCGGUGCCGCCAAUGGUUAGCGUCUCCAGCGACGAGCCGCUGCUGCCUGUGGUGGUCGUCGAGGACCAACCGUUGGUUGUCGCGAGGGACGUCCUCCUCCAUGGCGACACGGCCGUGGACAGCCAUGCACACGCAUUGGUUGUACGAGGCGAAGAAGGUGUUCGGCCGAAGAUGGCCACGUCCGGCACACCGUCCCAUGCUUACGCCACCGGUGAGGGUGACGACGACGGCGUGACGGUGAAAGCCAGGCUGACGGCGAGCAGGAGCCUGGCGAGGGAGGAGAGGGCGGCGAGGAGGCGGCGGAGCAGGUCCCACUCGCACGCGCUCGUGCCCGACACGGUGGUGGUGCAGGACAAGAGCGUGGUCGUCGUGAGGGACGAGAAGCUCCGGCGCACGGCCACGGAGGGCCGGCGCCCGCCCACCGCCGCAGAGGAGGAGGAGAGCGAGUACUACGCGCGGCUCUCCGACGAGGAGCUCAACCGGAGGGUGGAGGACUUCAUCACCAGGUUCAACAGGGAGAUCAGGCUGCAGGUCGAGAAGGAGGAGCUGCAAGCCUGA
rnacentral:rRNA from 1 species